rnacentral:piRNA from 1 species
UGGCCACUACGUAUCUCACAAGAAUA